ACUUCAGCAGUCAUCAAAAGCACGGGUGGAAUCCCAGCUCGCAGACACGUGGUGGGGAGCACUUCUGUCUCCUUCCCAACCACGCCACACGUCUCCCCUCACAUCAUUCCGGUCCAUUACCUAAUAUCUGAAUGGGAUGCAUUGAGCCUCUUCCAGGAAGUAGACCAUUGCUAUGAACUUCAAGAAACUGGACAAAGCUUUAUUCUUACUGUAAGCCUGCAGGUAUGGGUCUUGCUUCACUCGAUGGCAGAGCCUGGUUACUGGCAUCAGUGGGGAGAGCACUGGGUCUCAGUCCGUGAAGGAAGAGGGAAGAUUUGUGGUUUGGAGGGGCCACUGAGCUGUUUACAUUUGAUUUGUUACAUGUUGAAUGUUUCUUGCUGGUCUUAACCCUCUUCCCCAGUUGUACAUGUGAUUCUUCAGGUUUUACAAAAUGGGUUUUUAAGAAAAUAUUUUCUUUCCUGGUGGGCCAAAGAGCCUGCUAUGUUGUGAUCUUGAUGUAUUAACUAGGCAUCUUUUUUGACUUUAGUGUUCUUUAAAGUUACAUGUAGUCUGAAGCACUUUGGAAAUCUGUAUUUCUAACCCAGGCUUUCCCAACUUCCUUUCAUCUGAAAGACUUCGUAACCUUCCAAGUAUAUAUAUGUUAAAGGAAACAAAGGAGAAUGGGAGGUAUACUGUCAUGACUACUGCCUUUAUUCUGCCUGAGUGUAAAUUUUUAGAAACUCGGCUGUGUAAAUCAGAAGAAAGGAGGAGCAAAAAUAUCACACCUCUAAGCGCAUGUGUAGGACCAUAUAUUCUUAUUUCAAUCCAGACCAUGACCUGAAAAAGAGAGAGAGGGGGAGUCGAUUAAGUGCUGGGUUCAGAGGGCGGAGAGCAUGUGUAUCCAGGGGCUGCCGCUUGAUGCCUGCGCUUCAGUCCUGGUACUGGGAGCAGAGAGCCCUGAGCUAAUCCCACAGCACGAGAUGCUGGGGACUGCGGUGCAGAGAGGCAUGUGCUGGCAACUCCUGAAGCCUGCCUAGGUCUGGAGCCAGCCCCGCUGCAUUCAGGAGCGCUGUGCUAGAGGUAAGGCCGCAUCCUGCAGGGUCUCAGCAGAGUGCAGCACUGUGCGAGUCGAGCCAGCCAGCUGCUGGGCUCGUCUGGAUCGCGGGACCCUUGUGGGCUCACAGGUGUUGUGGCUGUUCAGCUGCCUAGCCUUGAAGUGCUCUGCUGCGGUCCCCUAGCAAAAUUAUGGUACAGAAAUGAGACAAAAUCCAGCUCAUGAAAGUAGGUAUUUUUUUUUGUCCAGCAUUCAUCAAAGCAGGAUAGGUGAUGUCUGAAGUUGUGUGUGUUGUUUUUUGUGUUAAUAUUUCUAACAAACUUUUUAUUGCAUUGUUUGAAAUUACAGAGCAAC
rnacentral:lncRNA from 1 species